rnacentral:lncRNA from 1 species
AACUGAGGUUUUAUCUGGUUGGAUUUGACGUAAUUGUAACUUACCAGCAGACUCUCAAUCGUCAGAAAUGAAGGGUUCCCUGUGACAGAGAUUAUAACACAUUUUAACUCCAAGGUUGCUACUGAGUUUGCAAUCAAGGACAUCCUGGGGAAUUCAUAAUUAACUCAGUGUUUGGUAGAUUCUCAUUCAUACUUCUGACUAUUUAGCAUAAGGACAUGUAUAGCUAGAUAUGCACUUCCAAGAUUAAAACAAAAUCAAUGAUUUCACACAUAUAUCUAUAAUCAUUAAGAAGAUGUUUUCAAUAAACCAUAACGAAAUUUAUUAUUUCACCUGUAAGACUAAAUGGAUUUGCAGAUGAGUAAGGAUCAGGUCAGCUCAUCUCCUCCUGUGAAAUUGCCCGUUCAGAUCUGCCCACUGCAAUAGAUUUAGCAGUGAUUUGCAGCAAAUUAGCUCAAGUGAUUUCACAUUACAACCUUCUGCUAAAGACCCUUUCCUAAUGGGUCCCGUUUCUUGCUGGGUCUUCAAAGUCAUCCUUUGUUUUUGUUCUUGAAUUUCAGAAGAGCUCAGGACAGUUUAGAGUAGUCCAAUAAAAUGUCAUAAAAUUGAUUAAGGGACGUAAAGAAAAUGAGCUUCAAGGCCAGAAAAUUAAACCUCAAGUACGCUCACAGGCAGGUAGAAGAAGCGAUGAAGAGCGAUGGCGAGAGGAGUCGUCAUUUAACGUACAUUAACCAGCAUUUAUUUACUGAGCAUGCGCAGUGAGUUACAGACCAGCAUAGGCGUAAAACCCGGCGCUUGGUUUUGCGGGGUUCCUCAUCCAGCCCACGGAACAAGAAUUACCCUGUGCCUGAGUGCAUCUGAGGGAUUUGAAGCUCGUGAGCUUUUUAUAACAUUUAAAUUUCAUCUCUAUUUAAAAUAAGAAACCUUGAGAAGAGAGGGGUUAAGAAAGUUGCCAAAGAUGAUACGGUUUAAGAAAGGCAGAUUCAAGAUUUGAACCUACAUCUGUCUGAUUCCAAAAAACAUCUUUUUCGCCCUCAUGGCAAGUAUUCCACCCAGGUUUUUGUCUUGUGCGUUUACUAAACAAAUACCGUGCAUGCACGCUAUAGAUUAGGCACAGUGUUAUGGGCUAGGUAUAUAUAGGUAGACGAAAUAGAGCUGGUGGUCCUUGUCCUAAGGAGCUUGUAGUCUCACAGGACAUGCAAAGAGAUUUUUAAAGUUAGAGAAAUGUCCAUUUUAAUCAUUGCAGUGAAGUGAAAGCUCAGGGCAUAGAAUGAGCUUAGAGGGGGAAUUUAUCCACUGCAGUAUAGCCAGAGGAUGCUUCUCGUAGAAGCGACAAUGUUAGAGACGUGGAUGAAAGAGAACAUAGGGUAGCAUAUAGAGACAUCGAAUUGGCUUCCUCCUACAUUGUUCCUUCUGCACUUACCACCGUUGCUCUCUAUGCACUCCUACCCUGGCUACCCUCGGUGUGAUUCUGCUCAGAUACUGUUGCUUAUUCAGAGACCAUGCUGAGGUCACAUCUUUGAUGAAAAGCCAUUCCAUAUUGCCACCAGUUGGAAUUAUUUACUCAGCUUCAUAUUUUAAAACUACCAUAUUCUCCUGCUUGAAUAUUUAUCACAGCCUAUUUUGUUUUAAAGUUAAUUAUGUGUUUGUUUCUUUCAUGAGAUUUUAAGUUGUUGCAAACUGGAGGCUUAUUACUUUUGUAUCUGUUGGACUCUACUGCAAAGCUUAGCACAUAAAGGGCUUUUAAAGAUUAUCACAGGAUUUCUUGGGUAAGAAAAUUACUUCACAUUUUACAAGUUUGGAGGUAGAAUUGUAGGAACGGACCCAAGAGUUACCCUAAAUGGCAAAAAAAAAAAAAAAAAAAAAGGAAGGAAAGAAGGAAGAAAAGGUCACGGGCUCUUAGUAUACCACUGAUCUUU